UUAGCUAUAACACUGGAGUGCCCCAGUGUCUACAUUAAAGGCUAAAGAUCUGGAACGCCUGUUAAUCUUGACUAAUUAAGACAAUAAUUUGGUGCAAUUAAGUAACCGAGAGCUUGGUUGAAAUGAAAACCAGAAGACCCUGUAGCUCUCCAGGACCAGGGUUGGAGACCCCUGAUCUAGAUGGUACAGCACUAUUGCAGUUGCCAUAGCUAAUCCAGCAUCAGGAAUACUGUAUACUACCCUGAAGAAACCCCAGUGAAAACACAAGCACACCACCACAGCAUUACCAGUGAUGGAAAACCUGAUGGAUUUGAAUAUACAGAGAUACAUGUUUGUUCUGUCUGAAAGAGAACAACACUGGCAGCCUCACUGGUACAAAUACCUUGCAGAUCAUUCUUUAGCCUUAAACACAGACCUGCUCAGGCAUGCCCUGAAGGAGACUGACUUUGCUGUGGUUCAAGCAAGGCGUCUUUAGUGCUGGAACACUGCUGGAUUGAGGACAUUUAAAGAUUGACAUCCAUCAAGUACCAAUUCAUAUUGAUUGACUUGGCCACAGUAACACUGAGAUUCCACUGGGUGACUGGAACUAACAAGAGGCGGUCAUUCGAGUCAUCAGGGCCUAUCAUUCAGUGUCAACAACCUGGCUAGGCAACCCAUUCCAUACCCUCACCAUUCUCUGUGUGAACAAGUGUCUCAAAUUCAUUUCCAACUGCGUGAACAAUUUUUCUUUGUUUUAGGAUACAUAAAUUCUUUCAGCUAUUCAUAGCUAUUCAUAGCUUUUGUUCCUUUAGGCAAUUGCAACCAUUGCAUUGCCAUUGAAGGCAAGUGUAAAACAUUACACUGUCUUAUACUUGGGUUUGGUAUUUCAUAAAUACAUCUCUCUUAUUUUCUAUCGUACACGUAUACCACAGGGCGAUGUAUAGGAGUGCUGUUUGCUAUGCAAUUAACAAGCCUCUUUGGUUUUGACAUUGCCAGGGUAGAAAUGUCACACAUUUCUCCUAGAUAGCACAAUUAAUGUAAAAUAAUAUUUUUGGAAAAUAUAUAUAAAAAUGUAUUUGUCUUCAGGCAAUGAAUUGUAUUAUAUAAUUAAUUAGUAUAUAAUGUGUCUAGCGAAGCAAGCAAAAAAAAAAACAAAAAAAAAAAAACCUGUCUUGAUAUAGAUUCAAACAAUGGAACAGCAGGGAGGCAACUGAAUAUGCAAAGACCCAAUUCAAGGUUUUUCAAUUAUAGGUCACACUAGAAAUGUGAAAUUGCGAUGUUGCCUUUUUAUUCGAUUUUUUUCUCCCUUCCUUUCACUGUGUAAGUUGUUUUCAAUUAAGUGUUCUGUUGGUCUAAUAUUGAACUACCAUUUGUCUCUAUAUCUGUCUUGCCUGUGAGUAUUUCUGGCAAAUUCUGCCUGCUUAGGACUGAAUCGACUUCCUUCAAAUCAUGUGACAAAAUGGCCUUUCAACUUGGCUAGUUCAGCAUACUCUCCUUCUCUAUAUGUGGAGUAGGCUGGGGCAGCAGAGUUGAUAAACGGCAUUGUCACAUGAUGUGAAUGGAAUGAGGACGUCUGCUCAGUGCUACAGUUAAAAUGAUCCAGACUGAAAGCCUGAACCAAUACCGGUCUAGCAAAACCUGUCUAAUCCAGCAUUGCUUGGGACCGAAACAACUCUAUUACAGCAGGUACUGUCCAGGUGUACCCUGUAAUUCAAGGAUUGAAUUAAGUAACCCUAAUUCCAUGCACCGGUUUUAUGUACCAUACCUGCAGGAUUUAUAAACUUAGAAAAGAAAAAUCACAUUGAUUUUAGACAAGCAAAUCAAAUCAUGCUGGAUUCCAGAAUAGACAGGUUCUGAAUUGUAGAGGGUACCACACCAUUAAUUUCAAUAGGAAAACCACAUUCACUCUUAAUGCUAUAAAAAAUACAUUUUAAACUACUUGUUUUUAACACUGCAGUGUCAGAAAAUCAUGUUCACUUUUACACUAUAAUAUAAUAUGUUAGUCUCUGUUUACUUCCUUUUUCCAGGCUUUUGUGUGGCCAUAUCAUACCAUCUACACACGAAGCCAUCACUUUAAUUACAGUGUCACUGGUGAGUGAUCAGGCAGUAUCUAUGGAGGGUCUGUUUGUUCUGAAUACAGAUUUGCAUUCCCUCCAAUGGGAAUAGGCUCUUCAAUUUCUUUUUGUAUUCACUUAACCUGUCAGAUCCAGGAAAGAAGAUAGGACUCGAAGUUUCAAAAGACACAUUUUAUUUUUAAUAAAUCAUCAAAACAUCAAACUUUGAGAGGAUAGCGUUUUAAAAGCUGAAGUCAACUGCGUAACAAAGGCAUGCUCAGAGAAUCGUUUGGCUGCUCGAUUGCGUCUCCUAAAGGAUUGGUCUGUAACAGGGGAAGGUAUAAGAUUUUAGAUUUCUUGACAGUCCUUGGGUUAUUAUUGUAUGGUUCGUUUUUUCAAUUUGUGUCAGAUGAUAUCAGAGAGAAAAAUAAUUCAACUGAUGCGAGAUCAAAAUGCCAUUGCCAGGAACUGAUAAUAUAUAAUAAAAUAUAUUAUUUAAAACAUUUCAAGAACGACAACAAAGGUGUCGACGGCUACAAGUCACAUGAAAUGCUGAAUUUUCAAUACUUUUGGUUUGUAUAUAAAAACAUGUUAUCAAUACUAUGUCCGUAUUCAAAGUGACUUUCAGAGAGGAAAACAAGCCAUUGACUCUAGUGUGGAUUGUGACUGAAUAAUCCCAAUCAGUAGACCUUUACUUCCUGUAAUUCAUUAUGAACUCCCAGUUGCUCCUUGUUGUUUUCAUGAUAGAGAACUAGCUCAGAACUCGAAGCAGCAAGUACAAAUAAAUGAUUACAAACUGAUUUCGGUAUUUGGCGCAUUAAUCUCGAUCCGAUCUGUGCAGUUUGAGUGCAAGAUGCCAAAUUAAAUCUGAAUAUGUAUUAAUGUCUUAGUUGUUUUUGCAGUGGGUCUCUCCUUGUUCAAUUUGGCUGGUUUUGUUUUACAGUGGUGGCUGGCUGCUGGAAGGUCUGUAGCUAACAGUCCUCUCAGUUUCCAGACCCUCUUUUUUCAGACUGUCUGCCAUCCUGGAGACCUCGCUGGCCAUUCGCAAGCCUUCCGUAGGACAACACGUCUCUGAUGCAGUGAAGGGACAGAAGACACAACACUGAGUUACUGAGGAGCAGCUUAGCAGACGAUGGACAAACAUACAGCACAACUGGACUUUAAAAUACUGUUUAUGACAAUUGAAAACUCUCCACCAUUCACUUUCAUUGGGAUUCCUGCGAAAACACGACACGGUACACAUGUGUUACAAAACGCCUGCUGUUCACUUGGUAAAUUGUUUUGAGUACAAUAAAAAAGCUUGACUCCCUC